rnacentral:rRNA from 1 species
UACGUAGGGUGCGAGCGUUGUCCGGAAUUACUGGGCGUAAAAAGCUCGUAGGUGGUUUGUCGCGUUGUCCGUGAAAACUCACAGCUCAACUGUGGGCGUGCGGGCGAUACGGGCAGACUGGAGUACUGCAGGGGAGACUGGAAUUCCUGGUGUAGCGGUGGAAUGCGCAGAUAUCAGGAGGAACACCGGUGGCGAAGGCGGGUCUCUGGGCAGUAACUGACGCUGAGGAGCGAAAGCGUGGGGAGCGAACAGG